CGCUGGCGGCGUGCUUCAUACAUGCAAGUCGAACGAUAAGGCGUCUUCGGACGUACAUAAGUGGCGGACGGGUGAGUAAUAUGUAGAGAAUCUGCCCUAGAGUGGGGGACAACCGUUGGAAACGACAGCUAAUACCCCAUAUGAGCGUAGUUGAGAUACUAUUCUUGAAAACUCCGGUGCUCUGGGAUGAGUCUGCAUCUGAUUAGCUAGUUGGGGGUGUAAUGGACCACCAAGGCGAUGAUCAGUAGCUGGUUUGAGAGGAUGAUCAGCCACAAUGGGACUGAGACACGGCCCAUACUCCUACGGGAGGCAGCAGUAGGGAAUUUUGCGCAAUGGGGGAAACCCUUGACGCAGCAACGCCGCGUGACCGAUUAAGCCCUUCGGGGUGUAAAGGUCUGUCAGUGGGGACGAAAAAUGACGGUACCCACAGAGGAAGCACCGGCUAACUCCGUGCCAGCAGCCGC
rnacentral:rRNA from 1 species